AAAAUGUUAAGAAAGGCCACCGCUCACUUUCAGGUUCACCAUGUGGCCUGGCAAAUUACGAAAUUGCUCCUACUGCCCAGGUUAGGAAAUUACAAGGAGCCUUUACCAAUGGUCAUAACCUACAGCACAAAGGAAUGACAAACAAGAAGCUGUGUUGGCAGGAUGGGACCAAGGACAGACCCUUGACUAGCGAACUUCCUCCUGCGGCACGUCAUCCAUUAUUAAUGGAAAGGUGUCAUGACAGCUCCCCGUUCGCCUUCCACCGUGAUUGUAAGCUUCCUGAGGCCUCACGAGAAGCUGAGCAGAUGUGAGUGUCAUACGCUAGUACAGCCUGUAGAACGAUGAGCCAAAUAAACUUCCUUAUAUAAAUUACCCAGCCUCAGGUGUUCUUUCGUAGCAACGCAAAAUAGGUUAACAGACGUUGGCUACUGACCUUCCACAGUGAAGAGAGGAUAUUAGAUAUGAGCGUGUUGUCAUCCAUAAAGCAUGGUGCUGAUACCUAAAACUGUUCGGUUCUUUCUGGGUGAUGCAACCCAUUUAUGUACAGGUGGCAGUUCUUCUGAGGCUACGUGAUGUGGAAGGGACUGUCCUUUUCCCGUUUGGCUACACAGAAUGGCUGUGCUCACUGUUGCAAACAAGUAUCAUACAUGUAAAGGAAAAAGAGUGACUCUGGCUGGGCGUGGUGGCUCAUGCCUAUAAUCCCAGCAAUUUGGAGGCUGAAGUGUGUGGAUCACAAGGUCAAGAGAUCAAGACCAUCCUACCCAACAUGGUGAAACCCUGUCUCUACCAAAAAUAGAAAAAUUAGCCAGGGGUGGUGGCACGCAACUGUAGUCCCAGCUACUCGAGAGGCUGAGGCAGGAGAUUGCUUGAACUUGGGAGGCGGAGGUUGCAGUGAGCCGAGAUCACACCACUUCACUCCAGUCUGGCAACAGAGUGAGACUUCGUCUCAAAAAAAAAGAGUGACUCCAAGCAAGAAUAGUCCCAGCGGCUCUCCCUGUGCUCCCUGUCUGUUCUCUUAUUCCACUUGGUACUACCCAACUUCUUUACCAUAUAUGCAUUCACCUAGAGCACUGUAGCAUCUCAACUCAUUUGAUCCUCACAAUGAACCUUGUAAAGUCUGGAAGGCGGCUUUGUUCUCAUUUUAGAAAUAAUGACUUUGGUGUUCCCUGGAAUCUCAAACACAUGCAGUUUGCACCCAUACUUCUUUCACAGCAGGAUGAGUAACUGAAAAAUUAGCAGUAGUGCUGUUGCUUUUUCUGGGUUGGCUUAUCAGCAAAAAAGAGAGAGUGUGGAAUUGCUGCUUCACCCUCACGGGAAGCGCUGGCAGCGCAAUGUGGGCUGAGUUCAGGCCCACUCAACCCCUGGUCAUGUAGACAGCUACAGUGCACAGAAGAUAUUUACAGUGCACAGAUGUUUCAUUCGUGGCCGACUUUAAGAUAGUGAGGAUAUUUUCCCAGAAACUAUAAUUUCCAGUUUCUCCUGGAAAAAUUGGAAGCUCUGAACCUGGAGAUGGCAGGGCUUCAAGGUCGGAGUCUGGCAGUGGGGAGUGGGGAGAGAGGGGGCACUAGCAGGUGUCCCUCGGGUACCUUCACAUUCCCCAACAGCCUGAGCACUGGCAGCGCAGCCUCUGAGGCCUGAACAGCAGAAACCCUUCUCUAGUUUCCUUGGCUGUGUUAGCCAGGAGGAUUUCAUGAAAUCCCAAAAGGGAAGAAAGCAGAGAGGGGUCCCUGAAAAGUGGUCGAGAUUGAAUCUUUAACCAAACUUGAUAAAUGAGGGUUUUGUUUAAAAAUUUUUGUUUAAAAUUAUUUAUUUAUUCAAUUUAUUUAUUUGUUUGUUUCUUUGUUUUAGAUGAAGUCUUGUUCUUGUCCUCCACACUGGAGUGCAAUGGUGUGAUCUCGGCUCACUGCAACCUCUGCCUCCCAGGUUCAGGCGAUUCUCCUGCCUCAGCCUCCCUAGUAGCUGGGAUUACAGGCACCUGCCACCAUGGGAUUGUAGGUACCUGGCUAACUUUUGUAUUUUUAGAAGAGACGGGGUUUCACCGUGUUGGCCAGGCUGGUCUCAAACUCCUGACAUCAAGUGAUCCAUCCGCCUUGUCCUCCCAAAGUGCUAGGAUUACAGGCGUGAGCCACCACGCCCAGCCUAAUCUGUUUAUAUUUUUGGAGACACAGUCUCACUCUGUUACCCAGCCGGCUGGAGUGCAGUGGUACAAUCAUUGCUCAUGGUAGCCUCAAACUCAUGAGCUCAAGCAAUCUUCUUGACUCAGCCACCAGUAGCUGGGACUACAGGUGUGCCACUAUGCCUGGCUAAUUUCUUUCUUUCUUCCUUCCUUCCUUUCUUUCUUUUUCUUUCUUUCUUUUCUUUCUCCUUCCUCCUUCCCUCCCUCUCUCCUUCCUUCCUUCCCUCCCUCUCUCCUUCCUUCCUUUCUUUCUUUUCCUU